GGCUCCCAGCAGAGGAGCCUGACGUGGGGCUCGAUCCCAGAAUGCUGGGAUCACGCCUUGAGCUGAAGGCAGACGCUUAACGACUGAGCCACCCAGGCGCCCCAACUUCAUCUCCCAUUUAAAUGUCAUUAUCAGUCUCAUGAAGUUGCUGUAGAUGCGGGUGGACUGAGAGAUCCUUGUGAGGUUAUCUUUUAACAUUGGGGUUUUGUUACGCUAAUUAAUACCUGUGUAACCAACCUGCUCAGCUCCGAUUUUUCUGACUGGAGGAAAUUCCCACUCCAAAGCCUUCGGGACCUUAGGGAAGUGUGGCAGGCCCAUGUCUGCUGGAAGGAGGAUACACACCUACAGCUCUAAGGGGUCCUUCCAAGCGAACCAGGGUUUGCAAAUUCACACUCAGCUCACCAGGGAUGUUCUGAGAAUGGACAGGGCACCAGUCCUCAGACCACACUCCACACUAGUCCUGGUGGGACUGGAACAGACCUUGAGCUCUGCAUCAGACCGGGGGCAGCAGACUCCCAUCUGUUUGCACAGGGCUCUGUAGGCUGUGAAGGCAGCUGGAGUUGGGAGUCACCUCCAGCUGGGGAGGACCCAGGUGUGGUCACCUUACCUACGAGGGCAGUGGAAACAUGGGAGGCUCAGCCUGGUGUCCUUGAUGGGCCCACAAGAGCCAGAGCAAAUUAAGUGAGGGGUGCUCCUGAGAUGAUGAGAAUUCUAGAGCAGGGGGCAACUUCUUAGAUCCUGAGGCACUUUUGAAAUUCUGAAAUUCUAGGACUGGGACAGCAUUGCUCCAAUUUCCCACUAUGGAAAAGAGGCUUAAAAAGAGUCAGGGCAACCUUUGCAAAUACAUUUAAGCAUCUGCUAUUCACCAGGCUCUGCAAAUUCAUGAUGUCAGGUGACAAAUUGCUCCAUAUGAUGCUGAAUCUUAUUCUACGUCGGGCAGACACAAACCACUAAGUGUUCACAGAGAUGGGGAAAGGAAGGGACAAAAAUCCCUUCCAGAUUUCAGAACACCUGUGAGAGUCUUGUCCCUCCCACUGCCCUGGGGCUUUUGGUUAUUGCAUUGAUUAAUGGCCCCCCAUCCUGCUCCUUCCUGUCUGGUCCUCCUGUGGACCAUGUUCCUCAUCUCGGAUUCACCUUCAAAAGAAGUCCUGGGUUUCAACCCCUGUUCUCUUGCUCACAAGCUGUGUGUCCUAGAACCAAGUACUUAACCUCUCUGAAUUCCUUGAUUUUUAUGUGAAAUGCUAUUUUUUUGAGUUAUCAUUCAAAGAAAAUUUUUAUUUGCAGCAAAUGAGGAGGUCAUGGGGAAUGGCUUUCCAAACCGUGACUCUGAGGGAGAGAAAGGGGGAGAGAGAGAGAGAGAGAGAGAGAGAGAGAGAGAGAGAGAGAGAGAGAGAAUGGGUUCCUUUUGUUUAGGGUUAGGAUGAAUGCUUAAAUAGGGAAGCCUUGUCAUCCUGUGCGAAAGCAGGCAUGAUGCAUGCGCCUUAAGGAAACAUGCCUAUACAUAGUGUGUCAUGUAAGUGAGGCUGAGGCUCCUCCUUGGGGGGAGCUUUUAGUAUUUUAAUGAGGUAAAGAGAAUUGUAGGUCAUUCCCAAGGUCACUCCAUGUCCAUGUGAGCAGAAGCAAGUCAGGUUUAGCUCAAAGGUCUGGGUGGCCUGGGGGGCAGGAGAUUUUGUCACCAUCACCUGGGGGUGGUUUCAGGUGUCAUUUGCCCGAAUUAAAAAGAAAGCAGGGAAAGAAGAGCUUAGGGGAAAACAUAAGACAAAUGUUAGCAGUAGAAGCAGGUGGGCAGUCAAGGCCAGGUCUUGGGACCUACCUGGUAACAAAUCCCUCCUCUGGUUUUGUUCUCCUCAUCCUUGAGGGGCAUGGGGUGAAAGUCUGUCUUCUGUAGCUACUUCCUGCUGGCCAUGGGCAUAUGGACGUAGGCAUAGAGACUGAGAGAGGAGCAGAAUUCUCCUUCAGCUAGUUUUAGCUAUGUCUGUCGAUCACCAGGUUUAACCCCUGUUCAUAUCCUUGUAUUACUACCAUUUAUAACUUUAUGGGCUCCGUGUGUUUGGAUACAAACUGUAGCAAACAGUUAAGCAUGUGAGGUCCAAUCAGUAAUAAGAACAGUCUUUAGUUUGUUUCCCUUUGCUGUGAUCCUGCUGAUACUUACUAGGAAAUUUAGUUUCCAAGGACACAUUAGUGUGUUCAUAGCUUUUUGCUUCUCUAGGAUAAUCAUGAACAGACUAACAUCAAGAAGGUGUUCAUUUUGCAAUCAGACCAAGGUAGAGGGGAUUAGAACAUGAUCUAUUUUGCCAUGUACUAACAAUAAGCUGUGGCAUUUAUUCUUCAAUGGUCACAUAGAGAAUGAUUUUUAAAUUUGAGAGCCCUUAUUUAAUGAGGCGUCCUUACCCUGUGUCUCUGCAAAAGAAGAUUCCUGUCAGUGAGCAACACACAGGAAUAUUGUCAUUCGGUGCUAUCUUCUGGGCCUCUGGUGCGGAUGCCCUUUUACUCUAUUCUGUUGGAUCCAAGCCAUGACUCUCUCCAUAGAUUUGGGUGAAUUCCUCUUCUCCAGGUCCCACAAAUAUUCUGAGGCUUCUGCACCUGUUUCUGAUACAUGUGUCCGUUGACCCAAAGAGCUGCUCCCUCCUCUUUCCUUGUGUGAAGUACUUUUACAGUGAUCUCCAGGUCACAGGGCUUCGGUAAGGGUCAGGUGAACUCAUGGAUGGGUUGGCAACAUGUUUUCAAGAAAGGCGAGGUAGGACAUAUUUUAGGCUUGGAGGGUCUCAGCCUCAGUUACUCAUCUCCACCAUUGCGCUGCUAAUGCAGCUGCUCACGGUACAUACGUAAGUGGGUGUGGCUGUUCCAAUAAAACUUUAUUUAUAUCAGUGUGUGGGGAGUGGUGUGGAUUCAGCCCUCAGACUAUCAUUUGCUAACCCCUGAAUUCAUGCACAUAAAGCGGUCAGUAUAGGGUCUGGCACGGGAGAAGCCACGAGGAAGUAGUGGUUUAUCAGUUGUUAGUAUCAUUAUUGUUACUUUUUACCAUGAGUCAUAUUUGGGCAGAACAGAGCAUGGGAUCCAGGUCCCAGCAAGAAACAUGUGCUUGAGGGUAGGAGAAAUCCAGCAGACCCUGGUGGAUGAUACAGACACCAUCCUGCAACCAUCACAUGACACCACAGAGCGCGCUGAUUGCUCUAGGAUUACUGGGUGCGAUAGUGUUAAUGUGCAUGCACGUGUGUGCGUUUGUGUGUGCAGGUGUGUGUGCAGGUGUGUGUGUGUGUGUGUGUGUG